CGACGACGCCACCACCACCACCACCACCACCACCACCACUACCACCACCGUGCGAGAUACCGACUGCUAACUCUCCGCACCCAAAAACUUUUCCCUUCAGCCGAUUUAUGCCGUGGAUGCUCGCGUCGCCAACGAAUUUCUUUCCCUUUCUCUCUCUCGUUCGUUCGUUUGUUCGUUCGUUUAUUUGUUCCGUUCUUUUUCAUUCCGUGUCGCGUCGUACAUAUGUAUACUCGUAUGUAUAGAUAAUGCUGGUGUAGAAUAACUGUGAGAGGAGGAUAUGCACAGGGGUUCUGGCAGCCUAUCGCGAAGCAUGCCUUCGAAUCUUUAAGAUCGAUGGACUGUACCGGAAUACUCAACUGCGACCAACAUAAAAAAAUAGAAACAGAAUGAGAGAGAGAAA
rnacentral:lncRNA from 1 species